rnacentral:rRNA from 1 species
AGCUCCAAUAGCGUAUAUUAAAGUUGUUGUGGUUAAAAAGCUCGUAGUUGGAUUUCGGCGGGUAUAGGUUGGUUUGAAUUGCUUCAAUACUGACUUUUUUACCCGUGUGUUUUGCCAGAAUUUAACGGGUGAUCUUCGCCGAUUGUCUGUUAGAACUGACAGGUUUACUUUGAAAAAAUUAGAGUGCUCAAAGCAAGCUUGAUUGCUUGAAUAUUCGUGCAUGGAAUAAUAGAAUAGGAAGUCGUUUCUAUUUUGUUGGUUUUCGGAAAUCGACUUAAUGAUUAAUAGGGACAGUCGGGGGCAUUUGUAUUCAAACGACAGAGGUGAAAUUCUUGGACCGUUUGAAGACAAACUACUGCGAAAGCAUUUGCCAAGAAUGUUUUCAUUA